CAGUCGCCGCGGUAAAACGAGGGGGGCAAGCGUUGUUCGGAAUUAUUGGGCGUAAAGGGUGCGUAGGCGGUUUGGCAAGUUUGGUGUGAAAUCUUCGGGCUCAACUCGAAGUCUGCAUCGAAAACUGCCGGGCUUGAGUAUGGGAGAGGUGAGUGGAAUUUCCUGUGUAGCGGUGAAAUGCGUAGAUAUAGGAAGGAACAUCAGUGGCGAAGGCGACCACCUGGACUGAUACUGACACUGAGGUGCGAAAGCGUGGGGAGCAAACAGGAUUAGAUACCCCAGUAGUCCUGUCUCUUAUACA
rnacentral:rRNA from 1 species